rfam:Oryza sativa Japonica Group DNA, chromosome 3, cultivar: Nipponbare, complete sequence.
AAAAAAACAAACCCUGAGUUUCCAUAUCCAACGUUUGACCGUCCGUAUUAUUUAAAAAAAUAUGAAAAAAAUUAAAAAGACAACUCACGCAUAAAGUAUUAAUCAUGUUUUAUCAUCUAACAACAAUAAAAAUACUAAUUAUAAAAAAUUUCAUAUAAGAUGGACAGUCAAACGUUGGACACGGAAACCAGAGUUUGUCUUUUUU